CCUACGGGUGGCAGCAGUGGGGAAUAUUGCACAAUGGGGGAAACCCUGAUGCAGCGACGCAGCGUGAGUGAAGAAGGAAUUCGGUAUGUAAAGCUCUAUCAGCAGGGAAGAAAAUGACGGUACCUGAGUAAGAAUCCCCGGCUAACUACGUGCCAGCAGCCGCGGUAAUACGUAGGGGGCAAGCGUUAUCCGGAUUUACUGGGUGUAAAGGGAGCGUAGACGGCAGUGCAAGUCUGGAGUGAAAGGCGGGGGCUCAACCCGCGGACUGCACUGGAAACUGUACGGCUGGAGUGCAGGAGAGGUAAGUGGAAUUCCUAGUGUAGCGGUGAAAUGCGUAGAUAUUAGGAGGAACACCAGUGGCGAAGGCGGCUUACUGGACUGUAACUGACGUUGAGGCUCGAAAGCGUGGGGAGCAAACAGGAUUAGAUACCCUUGUAGUC
rnacentral:rRNA from 1 species